UACGGGGGGUGCGAGCGUUGUCCGGAAUCACUGGGCGUAAAGGGCGCGUAGGUGGUCUGAUAAGGGUGUGGUGAAAGCCCGGGGCUCAACCCCGGGUCGGCCGUGCCGACUGUUAGACUAGAGUGCUGUAGGGGCAGGCGGAAUUCCGGGUGUAGCGGUGGAAUGCGUAGAGAUCCGGAAGAACACCAGUGGCGAAGGCGGCCCGCUGGGCAGUGGCUGACGCUGAAGCGCGACAGCGUGGGGAGCAAACAGG
rnacentral:rRNA from 1 species